UGCACAUGAUGAGAUAAAGAAUAUUUGCUAUCUGAAGGCUAUUGCUGACGCAUCUAUCCACCAAGAUCUCUGAUGCA
rnacentral:snoRNA from 1 species